GACGUAGGGGGCGAGCGUUGUCCGGAUUUAUUGGGCGUAAAGCGUGCGUAGGCGGCUGCGCAAGUCGGGUGUGAAACCCCGGGGCUCAACCCCGGAACUGCAUCCGAUACUGCGUGGCUAGAGGUAGGUAGGGGAGAUCGGAAUUCCUGGUGUAGCGGUGAAAUGCGCAGAUAUCAGGAGGAACACCGGUGGCGAAGGCGGAUCUCUGGGCCUUGCCUGACGCUGAGGCGCGAAAGCUAGGGGAGCGAACAGG
rnacentral:rRNA from 1 species